rnacentral:rRNA from 1 species
GUGGGGAAUCUUGCGCAAUGGGCGAAAGCCUGACGCAGCCAUGCCGCGUGAAUGAUGAAGGUCUUAGGAUUGUAAAAUUCUUUCACCGGGGACGAUAAUGACGGUACCCGGAGAAGAAGCUCCGGCUAACUUCGUGCCAGCAGCCGCGGUAAUACGAAGGGGGCUAGCGUUGCUCGGAAUUACUGGGCGUAAAGGGCGCGUAGGCGGACAGCUUAGUCAGAGGUGAAAGCCCAGGGCUCAACCUUGGAAUUGCCUUUGAUACUGGCUGUCUUGAGUUUGGGAGAGGUGAGUGGAACUCCGAGUGUAGAGGUGAAAUUCGUAGAUAUUCGGAAGAACACCAGUGGCGAAGGCGACUCACUGGCCCAAUACUUACGCUGAGGCGCGAAAGCGUGGGGAGCAAACAGGAUUAGAUACCCGAGUAGUCC